GAUGAACGCUGGCGGCGUGCCUAAUACAUGCAAGUCGAGCGAACAGACGAGGAGCUUGCUCCUCAGACGUUAGCGGCGGACGGGUGAGUAACACGUGGAUAACCUACCUAUAAGACUGGGAUAACUUCGGGAAACCGGAGCUAAUACCGGAUAAUAUAUUGAACCGCAUGGUUCAAUAGUGAAAGACGGUUUUGCUGUCACUUAUAGAUGGAUCCGCGCCGCAUUAGCUAGUUGGUAAGGUAACGGCUUACCAAGGCAACGAUGCGUAGCCGACCUGAGAGGGUGAUCGGCCACACUGGAACUGAGACACGGUCCAGACUCCUACGGGAGGCAGCAGUAGGGAAUCUUCCGCAAUGGGCGAAAGCCUGACGGAGCAACGCCGCGUGAAUGAUGAAGGUCUUCGGAUCGUAAAACUCUGUUAUUAGGGAAGAACAAAUGUGUAAGUAACUAUGCACGUCUUGACGGUACCUAAUCAGAAAGCCACGGCUAACUACGUG
rnacentral:rRNA from 1 species